rnacentral:tRNA from 1 species
CAAAAUGUAGCUUAAUUUAAAGCCCCUUGCUUACACCAAGACCUUGUCCGUUAAACCCGGACCAUUUUGAG